CUAGGUCGGAUUAGCUAGUUGGUGAGGUAAUGGCUCACCAAGGCGACGAUCCGUAACUGGUCUGAGAGGAUGAUCAGUCACACUGGAACUGAGACACGGUCCAGACUCCUACGGGAGGCAGCAGUGGGGAAUAUUGGACAAUGGGCGAAAGCCUGAUCCAGCCAUGCCGCGUGUGUGAAGAAGGUCUUCGGAUUGUAAAGCACUUUAAGUUGGGAGGAAGGGUUGCUGAUUAAUACUCUGCAAUUUUGACGUUACCGACAGAAUAAGCACCGGCUAACUCUGUGCCAGCAGCCGCGGUAAUACAGAGGGUGCAAGCGUUAAUCGGAAUUACUGGGCGUAAAGCGCGCGUAGGUGGUUUGUUAAGUUGGAUGUGAAAGCCCCGGGCUCAACCUGGGAACUGCAUCCAAAACUGGCAAGCUAGAGUAGGGCAGAGGGUGGUGGAAUUUCCUGUGUAGCGGUGAAAUGCGUAGAUAUAGGAAGGAACACCAGUGGCGAAGGCGACCACCUGGGCUCAUACUGA
rnacentral:rRNA from 1 species